rnacentral:rRNA from 1 species
CCUACGGGAGGCAGCAGUGAGGAAUAUUGGUCAAUGGACGUAAGUCUGAACCAGCCAAGUAGCGUGAAGGAUGACUGUCCUAUGGGUUGUAAACUUCUUUUAUAAAGGAAUAAAAUGAGGCACGUGUGCCUUUUUGCAUGUACUUUAUGAAUAAGGAUCGGCUAACUCCGUGCCAGCAGCCGCGGUAAUACGGAGGAUCCGAGCGUUAUCCGGAUUUAUUGGGUUUAAAGGGUGCGUAGGCGGGCUUUUAAGUCAGUUGUGAAAGUCUGCGGCUCAACCGUAAAAUUGCAGUUGAUACUGGCAGUCUUGAGUAUGGUUGAGGUAGGCGGAAUGCGUGGUGUAGCGGUGAAAUGCUUAGAUAUCACGAAGAACCCCGAUUGCGAAGGCAGCUUACUAAGCUGUGACUGACGUUGAUGCUCGAAAGUGUGGGUAUCAAACAGGAUUAGAUACCCGUGUAGUC